rnacentral:rRNA from 1 species
GCACAAGCAGUGGAGUAUGUGGUUUAAUUCGACGCAACGCGAAGAACCUUACCAGGUCUUGACAUCAAGUGACCGCCUAAGAGAUUAGGCUUUCCCUUCGGGGACACAAAGACAGGUGGUGCAUGGUUGUCGUCAGCUCGUGUCGUGAGAUGUUGGGUUAAGUCCCGCAACGAGCGCAACCCUUAUCAUUAGUUGCUACGCAAGAGCACUCUAAUGAGACUGCCGUUGACAAAA